UGGAAACUNUCUGACUUGAGUGCAGAAGGGGAGGGUGGAAUUCCAUGUGUAGCGGUGAAAUGCGUAGAUAUAUGGAGGAACACCAGUGGCGAAAGCGGCUCUCUGGUCUGUCACUGACGCUGAGGCUCGAAAGCGCGGGUAGCGAACAGGAUUAGAUACCCUGGUAGUNCACGCCGUAAACGAUGAGUGCUAGGUGUUAGGCCCUUUCCGGGGCUUAGUGCCGGAGCUAACGCAAUAAGCACUCCGCCUGGGGAGUACGACCGCAAGGUUGAAACUCAAAGGAAUUGACGGGGGCCCGCACAAGCGGUGGAGCAUGUGGUUUAAUUCGAAGCAACGCGAAGAACCUUACCAGGUCUUGACAUCCCGAUGCUAUUCUUAGAGAUAGGAAGUUACUUCGGUACAUCGGAGACAGGUGGUGCAUGGUUGUCGUCAGCUCGUGUCGUGAGAUGUUGGGUUAAGUCCCGCAACGAGCGCAACCCUUAUUGUUAGUUGCCAUCAUUAAGUUGGGCACUCUAGCGAGACUGCCGGUAAUAAACCGGAGGAAGGUGGGGAUGACGUCGAAUCAUCAUGCCCCUUAUGACCUGGGCUACACACGUGCUACAAUGGUCGGUACAACGAGUUGCGAGCCGGUGACGGCAAGCUAAUCUCUGAAAGCCGAUCUCAGUUCGGAUUGGAGGCUGCAACUCGCCUCCAUGAAGUCGGAAUCGCUAGUAAUCGCGGAUCAGCACGCCGCGGUGAAUACGUUCCCGGGCCUUGUACACACCGCCCGUCACACCACGAGAGUUUGUANCACCCGAAGUCGGUGAGGUANCCUUUUAGGG
rnacentral:rRNA from 1 species